rnacentral:rRNA from 1 species
UACGGAGGGUGCGAGCGUUGUCCGGAUUUAUUGGGUUUAAAGGGUGCGUAGGCGGUAUAUUAAGUCAGUGGUGAAAUACGGUCGCUCAACGAUUGCCGUGCCAUUGAUACUGAUAAACUUGAGUAUGAUAGAGGUAUUUGGAAUGGAUAGUGUAGCGGUGAAAUGCAUAGAUAUUAUCCAGAACGCCAAUAGCGAAGGCAGAGUACUAUGUCAUUACUGACGCUGAUGCACGAAAGUGUGGGGAUCAAACAGG